rnacentral:rRNA from 1 species
UACGUAGGGAGCAAGCGUUGUUCGGAUUUACUGGGCGUAAAGGGCGCGUAGGCGGCGCGACAAGUCACUUGUGAAAUCUCCGGGCUUAACUCGGAACGGUCAAGUGAAACUGUCAUGCUAGAGUGCAGAAGGGGCAAUCGGAAUUCUUGGUGUAGCGGUGGAAUGCGCAGAUAUCAGGAGGAACACCGGUGGCGAAGGCGGGUCUCUGGGCAGUAACUGACGCUGAGAAGCGAAAGCGUGGGGAGCGAACAGG